rnacentral:rRNA from 1 species
CGUGUAGGCGGUUCGGUAGGUCCGCUGUGAAAACUCGAGGCUCAACCUCGAGACGCCGGUGGAAACCAUCAGGCUAGAGUCCGGAAGAGGAGAGUGGAAUUCCUGGUGUAGCGGUGAAAUGCGCAGAUAUCAGGAAGAACACCCGUGGCUAAGGCGGCUCUCUAGUACGGUACUGACGCUGAGACGCGAAAGCGUGGGGAGCGAACA